UAAAAAGGAGACAUACAGAAGAACAGAGGAAAUUAAAACAUGAUGGUUUUCUGUAUGUUUCUGUUUUUUACCAUGUUCAUAGGUGAGAGCACACAGGACAGCAUUACUCCAACAUCUUCUGCUGUCUAUGGUAAAGAGGAGCAAGCAGUUACACUCUCCUGUGAUUAUAAAUACACUGUUUCUAUGAACAAUCUACAGUGGUAUCGACAAUAUUCCAAUGCAGCACCAGAAUUCCUCGUUCUGUUGAUGGAAUCCGGAGCAAAUCAGACAAGUGACACUCCUCAUCCUCAUUUGUCUGCUAAAGUUCAUAAGAGUCUGAAGCGUGUGGAUUUGGAGAUCUCGCCUGCUUCAGUAUCAGACUCUGCACUGUACUACUGCGCCUUGCAGCCCACAGUGACAGGAAAGCCAACUUCACUGCACAAAAACCUACAGAGACCUCAAACAUGAAAGUGCUGAAGAAUCACAAUAAGAAGAAAAGACUGCAUGCAUAACAUCAGCAUUCUGAUUAUUGA